rnacentral:pre_miRNA from 1 species
CGGGCUUUAGUGGUACAGUGGGCCUCAGUCAUGUUGGCACGUCUACUGGCCUGCUAAGUCCCAAG